rnacentral:rRNA from 1 species
UACGGAGGAUCCGAGCGUUAUCCGGAUUUAUUGGGUUUAAAGGGUGCGUAGGUUGUAUGAUAAGUCAGCGGUGAAAGUUUGCAGCUUAACUGUAAAAAUGCCGUUGAAACUGUCAGACUUGAGUGUAAACGAGGUAGGCGGAAUGCGUGGUGUAGCGGUGAAAUGCAUAGAUAUCACGCAGAACUCCGAUUGCGAAGGCAGCUUACCAGGCUACAACUGACACUGAAGCACGAAAGCGUGGGGAUCAAACAGGAUUAGAUACCCUGGUAGUCCACGCAGUAAACGAUGAUUACUAGCUGUUUGCGAUAUACAGUAAGCGGCACAGCGAAAGCGUUAAGUAAUCCACCUGGGGAGUACGCCGGCAACGGUGAAACUCAAAGGAAUUGACGGGGGCCCGCACAAGCGGAGGAACAUGUGGUUUAAUUCGAUGAUACGCGAGGAACCUUACCCGGGUUUGAACGUAGUCUGACCGGCCUUGAAAGAGGUCUUCUAGCAAUAGCAGAUUACGAGGUGCUGCAUGGUUGUCGUCAGCUCGUGCCGUGAGGUGUCGGCUUAAGUGCCAUAACGAGCGCAACCCUUAUUUUCAGUUACUAACAGGUCAAGCUGAGGACUCUGGAAAGACUGCCAGCGUAAGCUGUGAGGAAGGUGGGGAUGACGUCAAAUCAGCACGGCCCUUACAUCCGGGGCGACACACGUGUUACAAUGGCGAGGACAAAGGGUCGCUACCUGGCAACAGGAUGCUAAUCUCAAAACCUCGUCUCAGUUCGGAUCGGAGUCUGCAACUCGACUCCGUGAAGCUGGAUUCGCUAGUAAUCGCGCAUCAGCCAUGGCGCGGUGAAUACGUUCCCGGGCCUUGUACACACCGCCCGUCAAGCCAUGGGAGCCGGGGGUACCUGAAGUUCGUAACCGCAAGGAUCGACCUAGGGUAAAACUGGUGACUGGGGCU